GUAAUGUGUAUUAUACUAUGCAAAUCCAGACCGUAAAUAAGCGGCUAUCUGUUUUAUCUCUGGAUUUGUUGCUUAAAAGGUAGCUGAUGUAUUGGGCAUGAAGUCCUGGAUGGCUUGGUCUAGCCCUAAUAUUAAUACGUAAUAAGAUCAUUUGGUUCCAGAAAGAAAAAGAGGGGGGAGGAAUCUAAAUAAAUGCUCAUAAAAUGCAGUCACUCUGUUGUCUUUCUCUUCUUCUGCUAACUUAGUUCCUACAACCGCUACUCCGGUUUUCUCCAGCAAUGACUCAACUCCAGUCUCUGACACAAGGCCAGACCUCCCGCGAGCCCCAUCUGGGAAAGUUCAGAGGAGACGAAGUGGUGGCGGGAAACACUCUCAGAGAAAACACUCUGUCCACACUCCCCCCUGCUGCUCCCCAACAUCCUUUGAGCGGAAGAACAAGGGGCGCAAAUCCUUGCGGAUCUUUUCCCGCGGCAGCAAAGAUCUGGUGCCUCGUUCUGAACCACUUCCCACUUCUCCAAAAGCAGCAGAACCCGGCGGCUGGCUUCUCACGAAGGUGGCGGAGGGACGGGAAGGCCUGGCCUUGCAGCCGAGAUGAGCCCAGUCACAGUCCUGCGAGCCCAGAGAAAUGGAAAAAGGGUCUCCAAAUGGCUUAUCCAACAGAAACGCCCCUCCCUCCACGAAUCCAGGCGUCCCGAAUGCUGUUGCGAAAUGUAAGUGCGUCGUGGGGCUGAGCCCCCACUCGGACGGUUUUCCGAACCAUCCCUCCCUACGCCGAUCUUUGAGUUGGCCUGAGGAUCUGUCCACCAGGAAAGCCGCUGAGGAGAGGGAGACGGGCUUUUUUCCGGACGGGGCUCCCCUCAGCGCUGGAGAGCACGAGGCCCCAAGGUCUGGCCCAACGGGGCCCCCUCUGCCUCCGGCCAAUGUCGCCAUGACAGGCGUGAGGCCGGUGACGGUUCCUGAGAUUCACGUGACGCUGGCGGACGGCGGUGUGGACGGCCACCUGGAGAACGGGGCUUGUGACCUGCCCCGAGGCCCACUUCUCUCCAUGACCGAGGCAUCCGAGGCCCACCUUUCUCCGGUGGUUAACCUCCACGACGGCCCUCCGAGCGUCCUGAAGCGCCUGACCCUCCAUUUCCAGCGCCUCUCAUCCUCCUGGUCCAGCCCUCCCAGGCGCAAGGGGGGGCGGCGGUUUGGCCGCUCCGUGAGCCACGAAAGCGGUCUGCCCUUGCAGGCGGGUCCGGAGGAGGCCUUUGCCGGCCAGACCGGGCAGCCUCCCAAAAGCUGCCGGCCCUCCUUCAAAGCUUGCAGCAGGCAGAUCUGCGUGGCCCGGAAACAGAUCGUGCUGUCGUUUGCCAACUUCAGAAAGAGGGACGGGCAAAGCCCUUCGGACGCUGAACCGUCAAAGGUGGCUUUUCCAGAGAACCAACAAUAGGUACACCUUGGAAAGAGGAACAGUGAG
rnacentral:lncRNA from 1 species